UGCGGGGUGGAGCAAUGGUAGUCUCGUCGCUCUCUGGAAGCGAAAAUCUAGGUUCAAGUCCUAGCCCCGCAGCAA
rnacentral:tRNA from 2 species